rnacentral:rRNA from 1 species
AGUGAACGCUGGCGGUAGGCCUAACACAUGCAAGUCGAACGGCAGCACAGUAAGAGCUUGCUCUUACGGGUGGCGAGUGGCGGACGGGUGAGGAAUACAUCGGAAUCUACUUUUUCGUGGGGGAUAACGUAGGGAAACUUACGCUAAUACCGCAUACGACCUACGGGUGAAAGCAGGGGAUCUUCGGACCUUGCGCGAUUGAAUGAGCCGAUGUCGGAUUAGCUAGUUGGCGGGUAAAGGCCCACCAAGGCGACGAUCCGUAGCUGGUCUGAGAGGAUGAUCAGCCACACUGGAACUGAGACACGGUCCAGACUCCUACGGGAGGCAGCAGUGGGGAAUAUUGGACAAUGGGCGCAAGCCUGAUCCAGCCAUACCGCGUGGGUGAAGAAGGCCUUCGGGUUGUAAAGCCCUUUUGUCGGGAAAGAAAAGCAGCAGGUUAAUACCCCGCUGUUCUGACGGUACCCAAAGAAUAAGCACCGGCUAACUUCGUG